UGCGCUUGUGUCACCUCUCAUGAAUUUUUUUCUGGUUUGAUUCCCCAUGUCUCACGGGUGUGUGGUAUGCAGUCAAGGCAUCGGUUCAUGUGGUUUCCUGAUGCUGGCAUAUGAAAGAGAUGCAGACGAGAGGAAGAGAGCCUCCCCCAAGCUCUGUCUAGGCGAUGCACGGGCGACGGCCACCCUUCCUGUUAUUGCCUCCAUGGCUGGCUGCUCAUCCCCAGGAACCUCCUCCCCUCUCAUGUGCGCCACACUCUGGGAUUAAGUUGGAACACAGGUAUCUAGGGCAGGGCAUGGUCACAUUGCAGGCAGCGAGGAGCAGCGCAAAGUUGUCUUGGCUGUGCCCUGCAUCGAGGAGGAACACAGGUUGAACAAAUCCGACAUCUGUAAAUCAUCGAUGUUUUUCUGGAAGUAGUACAGUAGGUUUAAGAUUGGGCGAUGAUUCGUUCAUUCGACUGCCAGGUGAUCAGAAUUACUGCUUUGUUUAUUACUCAACAAUGUCGGACACUGGUUUCUCUAAAUAUCUUUUACAAGUACAGUUUCUACUUUUUUCUGCAGAAAUACUACAUGGUAGUCUUGAAGUAAAUACCAAUUAUGUGAUCCGAUAUGUUGUUUCAGAACAAUAGACCAUCAAUAUUAUUUUCGCCUCGGGUUCUAGAGGAGGACAGCUAAUUAAGAGAAAACUUCGGUGGGAUAGAGAGGGAAGUUUGCUAUAUUUCACAAUACCCAAACAGAAUUUCAUUGCUGAUUCUUCUCCCCUGAACUUUGCUCAUGCCAAUUACAUUUUGUAGACCCUUUUUAAGGAAACUGCUUCAUUUACACCAUCCCAUUGGCAUGUCUAUUAGCAGUAA